rnacentral:rRNA from 1 species
UAGGGAAUCUUCCACAAUGGGCGCAAGCCUGAUGGAGCAACACCGCGUGAGUGAAGAAGGGCUUCGGCUCGUAAAGCUCUGUUGUUAAAGAAGAACACGUAUGAGAUUAACUGUUCAUACGUUGACGGUAUUUAACCAGAAAGUCACGGCUAACUACGUGCCAGCAGCCGCGGUAAUACGUAGGUGGCAAGCGUUAUCCGGAUUUAUUGGGCGUAAAGAGGGUGCAGGCGGUUUUCUAAGUCUGAUGUGAAAGCCUUCGGCUUAACCGGAGAAGUGCAUCGGAAACUGGAUAACUUGAGUGCAGAAGAGGGUAGUGGAACUCCAUGUGUAGCGGUGGAAUGCGUAGAUAUAUGGAAGAACACCAGUGGCGAAGGCGGCUACCUGGUCUGCAACUGACGCUGAGACUCGAAAGCAUGGGUAGCGAACAGGAUUAGAUACCCUGGUAGUCCAUGCCGUAAACGAUGAGUGCUAGGUGUUGGAGGGUUUCCGCCCUUCAGUGCCGGAGCUAACGCAUUAAGCACUCCGCCUGGGGAGUACGACCGCAAGGUUG